AUUUCAUAGCUUUAGGGGUAGAAUAUAGAUCUUUCCAUGGUAAACAUAAGACUAUAUGAUCUGGCUAAUAAUUAUGUAAGAUCUUUCUUUUAUAACCUAAUAUUAUGUAAGCAUAGUUAGGGAUGGGUAGCAUGUGUACAGCAUUGUAAAAACACAAAACGUAAUAUAAAACCUAAACAUAACAGCCACUAACAUAUUAUUUUUUCUUGCAUCAUUUUUUUUCUUCCCAGUUUUGCCAUGAACCGAUGAUUACCAAGAGUGAACACUAAUAAAGUAACCCUUACCUUUUAAUGAAGAAAGGAAUCAUAAUGGCUUCAGAAGAAAAGCUGUCUUUGGAGAGAGAGGAGAAUGAGAUGGGAAAAGUCCUCAACUGUAUGUUACUUCUCAGUUUUAUGAAAAUAAUCUGAAGUAAAAAUCUGAAUAUGGCAAAAUGUUAGUAUUUCUUGAUUCUGGAUGGUGAUAUGAUUUUGGAUGGUGAAUAUUCUGUGCAUUUUUCUGCAUGUUUGAAAUAUUUUAUUAUAUAGAUCUUUUAAAAUUUAAAAAGAAGUGGUAUGUAGUAAAAGCCAGAAAUAUGAGCCUUGUACUGGUUUUGUAAGCAUUUGUAAAACUCCUUUGAGGAAUUUUGGGGAUAUUUUGGGGUAAUCUUUUUUUUUGAGAUAAAAUUCAUCAUUUUAAUCAUUUUGAAGGAUACACUUGUGGCUUUCAGUGUAUUCAUAAUGUUGUGCAACCAUCACCAGUAUCUAAUUCCACACAUUUCUCUCACCUUUUUGAGGAAUCUUGCAAGGAACCAGAAGUCCUGCAUUAGCAGUAUCAGCUUGGAAUAAAUGAUAAGAGAUAUUAAUAUUAAGUGAUUUUAUAUGAAUUCACAGAGAGAGGCCUGGGAUCAUUCAAUUUACAUAUUUAAAUUUCUGUGUAAUUAGAGAUUUAGGGCUUAAUAUUUCCCCCAUAGACAAGAAUAUCCUACCAGCUUCCAGAGUUACUCAGUAAUGCCUUUUUGUGGGUGGUAACUUCACUCUCUACCCCAUGUGAUUUCAUCUUCCUUGGAGUGCAGCCCAGAACAGAGAAACAGAGACAUGCUCUACCUAAACCUUCCAUGGACAUUCUUGCUUUCCCAGACUGUGCUGGAAGACUUAGAAACUGCUACAGAAUGAAUGUUGUACCCCCCCCAAGAUUCAUAUUUUGAAAUCCUGAUCCCUAAUGUUUUGGUAUUUGAAGCUGGAGCCUUUGGGAGGUCAUUAGGUCAGGAGGGCAGAGCACUCAUGAAUGAGGUUAGUGCCCUUAUAAAAGAGACUCCAAGACCUCCCUUGUCCCUUCUGCCAUGUCAGGACACAGCAAGAAGACGGCUUCUAUAAAGCAGGGAGUGGGCACUCACCAGACACCAAAUCUGCUGGCACCUUGAUCUUGUAGUUCCCAGCCUCCAGAACUGUGAGAAAUAAACCACCCAGUCUCCUGUAUUCUGUUAUAGCAGCCCCAGCAGACUAAGACAGGAAACCCUCUUCUGAUGCUUGCACUGCAUUGUGUAUUUAUGUCCAUGAUAACAAUUACCCUUAGUAUUAUAAUUACUUAUGGCAUAAUCGUUCCAUGAUUUCAGAAAGCUCUGAACUCCUUGAAUUCAGUGAUCGUAUCUUUCUACAUUUGCAUCCUCAAAACUUAGCAAAUUCCCAGACUCAGUAGAUGUUCAAAUAAAUGUUUUUUGAAAGAAUGACAUUUUGAUGAACGAAGUAUCUGUGACUCAUUUCAGGUCCGUACAAGUCCAACAAUAGACAUUAGUCAAACUUCUCAUUUUCAAUCAACUGUUGAAGGUGGCGUGGUUGACUUAGAUUUAGCAGACUUCAGUAAGCAAAGCCCAAGAAAACAACAAAAUGUCACAAUCCCUAUCCUCCCUACAAAGGUGAGCUUAAUUCUUACUGCUUCACGAGUCUCUCCCUGACAGCCUCAUGUGCUGGCAGAUGCCUUGGACCAGGGAUUCAGGAGAUUUCAGCUCAGCGAGGAACUGCUGUAGCUGUUUAAGCUUUAGGCAGAUAAGUUCUUGUCGAUUCUUAUUUCCUCUCAGGCAAAAUAAAACGAUGGGUUAGGUUCCUUGGCGCAUUCCCCUCUCACCUGUCUCUGAUUCUUCCUCAGAACUCAAGUGACCAUUAUUAGUUGGCUUAGAUAUUUGGCACUUAGCAUACAGCACCUUUUAUUAUUUUACCCUUUCAUGUUUGUUAUAGGUACAUAUAUAUUUUACACCUUUUCAAGGCAAGCAUCUUAUAUUAUACUGAUUUGUAUUAUAUGGGUACCUGGCAGAAAGUUCAUUUUUUGGCUUUGGUUUUGGUUUGCUUUCAUGGCACUUAAUAGAGACAAUUUUAAUACUUAUUAGCAAGUUUCUGAUUCUUCUACCAAAGAGGAUUUUCUGGGUAAAGGCUUGGGCACAUUUCUCAAAAUCUUUCCUAUAUUGAUACUCACUCAAUUUUCAAAGUUGCUGACCUUUCCUUCAGACAAGUGAAAAUAACACUAAUUCUUCCAACAGGUAGGUCCCCAGGUUCCAAGUCUUUAUUUCCAAACUCUGCUCUUCAUUGCAUCUAGAUUUCUCUGACUUCCUCUGUUUUUCUAACAACUGACCUGUUAAACUUCCAUUUAAAGAAAAUCACAACCGGUCUCCCAAAGACUUUAGCCUCAGUGAAACAAACAUUUAGCUGCAUGUCGUCCUCAGCCUUUAAAAAGCUCCCAGGCUGAAUUUGGCCCAUUCAACUAGCCAGGAAGAGGCUCACAUGCCAUUCUGGGAGGAGGCUUUGGGCUGUGAAGCUUUGUUGUAUAUUUUUUGCUUCAUACUUGUGUGUGGAAAUAGAUGUGUGUGUAAAAACAGAUAUAAUAUUCAACAUUCAACUGUAUCAUUGAGCAGAGAUUUUUUAAAGUAUAAAAAGUUCAGUUUUAAUCAAGGGCCUUGGUUUGGUGAUUGAUUUCUGCAGUUAGUUGUCUCACAAUCUUACAUCAGAUAUCCUUUUACAUUUUUUGUUGAUUUUUAGCAAAAGUGGAGAAAGAAUAUGAAUUCUUUAGAAUUCUUAUAUAGUGUCCCAAAAUUUCAUUCUUAAUUCUGAAGAACAUAUAAAACAAGGCUAAGAUUCCUCUAUUUGGUUCUGGUAAAACUGGAAGCAGAUUUGUGUAGUGAUUAGAAGUUUGGCUUGUAAUCAGACAGAUUGUGCUUCAAAUCGCUGCUCUGUCACUUUCUAGCCAGAAGUCCCUAGACAAAUUACUUAACUUUUCUAAGACUCUGUUUUCUUUUCUUUUCUUUUUUUCUUUUUGAUCAGGAAGACUGUCCCUGAGGUAACAUCUGUGCCAAUAUUCCUCUAUUUUGUAUGUGGCAUGCCGCCACAGCAUGGCUUGAUGAGCAAUUGUGUAGGUCUGCACCCGGGAUCUGAACCUGCAACCUUGGGCUGCCAAAGCGGAGCAUGUGAACUUAACCACUAUGCCGCUGGGCCGGCCUCUAAGACUCAGUUUUCUUAUCUGUAAAGUGGAGGUAAUAAAAGAAUGUACUGUAUAAGUUACCUGUGAGUACUAAGUGAGGUAAUACAUAUGAGAAGCAGUAACCAUAUAGCCUAGCAGAUAGUAACUGUUCACUUAAUAUUAGUGAUGAUCUGGAGCUUUGGGUGAUAGAUAAUUUUUAGUCAUGAAGAGGAUCUCUGAGGAAUGGUCAGGGCUAAGUGCAAUGCAGUAAAGUGUAAUGUGAAUCAUGUCAAGGGAUGCAGGAUUCAAAAUUCAAUUUCACCUGAAAGACCUUGGGCAACUCACCAAAUCCUCACUUGUCCUCAAUAUUAUGAAAAAACUACCUUGUGGUGGCCCAGCCUCCUUUUUCCACAUCUUCUCUCUUGCUAUGGACUUUUUCUUUUCUUUUUUUCAUCUUUCCCUC
rnacentral:lncRNA from 1 species